AACGAACGCUGGCGGCAUGCCUAACACAUGCAAGUCGAACGGGAUCCUGGCUUCGGUCAGGUGAGAGUGGCGGACGGGUGAGUAACGCGUGGGAACCUGCCCAGUGGUGGGGGAUAACUGCGGGAAACUGCAGCUAAUACCGCAUGAGCCCGAGAGGGGAAAGAUUUAUCGCCAUUGGAGGGGCCCGCGUUCGAUUAGGUAGUUGGUGAGGUAACGGCUCACCAAGCCGACGAUCGAUAGCUGGUCUGAGAGGAUGAUCAGCCACACUGGGACUGAGAUACGGCCCAGACUCCUACGGGAGGCAGCAGUGGGGAAUAUUGCGCAAUGGGCGAAAGCCUGACGCAGCGACGCCGCGUGGGUGAUGAAGGCCUU
rnacentral:rRNA from 1 species